GACGAACGCUGGCGGCGUGCUUAACACAUGCAAGUCGAACGAUGAAGCCGGAGCUUGCUCUGGUGAAUUAGUGGCGAACGGGUGAGUAACACGUGAGUAACCUGCCCUUGACUCUGGGAUAACUGCGGGUAACUGUAGCUAAUACCGGAUACGACCCUCGGAGGCAUCUCCUGGGGGUGGAAAGAAUUUCGGUCAAGGAUGGACUCGGCGCCUAUCAGCUAGUUGGUGAGGUAAAGGCUCAACAAGGCGACGACGGGUAGCCGGCCUGAGAGGGGGACCGGCCACACUGGGAGUGAGACACGGGCCGGACUCCUACGGGAGGCAGCAGUGGGGAAUAUUGCACAAUGGGCGCAAGCCUGAUUCAGCAACGCCGCGUGAGGGAUGACGGCCUUCGGGUUGUAAACCUCUUUUAGCAGGGAAGAAGCGAAAGUGACGGUACCUGCAGAAAAAGCACCGGCUAACUACGUGCCAGCCGCCGCAGUAA
rnacentral:rRNA from 1 species